rnacentral:tRNA from 1 species
GCGCCGGUAGUCUAGUGGAAGGAUGCGGGCCUCCCACGCCCGUGACCCGGGUUCGAAUCCCGGCCGGCGCA